GAGUUUGAUCCUGGCUCAGGACGAACGCUGGCGGCGCGCUUAACACAUGCAAGUCGAGCGAGAACCAGGGCUUCGGCCCUGGGGACAGCGGCGAACGGGUGAGUAACACGUGGAUAACCUGCCCUCGGCACCGGGAUAGCCCGGGGAAACCCGGAUUAAUACCGGAUGGCCUCUCGAGCUUUCGGGCUCGUGAGAAAAGGUAGCUUCGGCCUCCGGCCGAGGAGGAGCUCGCGGCGGAUUAGCUUGUUGGUGGGGUAACGGCCCACCAAGGCGACGAUCCGUAGCUGGUCUGAGAGGACGAUCAGCCACACUGGGACUGAGACACGGCCCAGACUCCUACGGGAGGCAGCAGUGGGGAAUCUUGCGCAAUGGGCGAAAGCCUGACGCAGCGACGCCGCGUGCGGGAAGAAGGCCUUCGGGUUGUAAACCGCUUCCAGGAGGGACGAAGCCACUCGGGUUAAUAGCCCAGAGGGUGACGGUACCUCCAGAAGAAGCCCCGGCUAACUACGUGCCAGCAGCCGCGGUAAUACGUAAGGGGCA
rnacentral:rRNA from 1 species